CCUACGGGAGGCAGCAGUGGGGAAUUUUGGACAAUGGGCGCAAGCCUGAUCCAGCAAUGCCGCGUGCAGGAAGAAGGCCUUCGGGUUGUAAACUGCUUUUGUACGGAACGAAACGGUCCUGGUUAAUACCCGGGGCUAAUGACGGUACCGUAAGAAUAAGCACCGGCUAACUACGUGCCAGCAGCCGCGGUAAUACGUAGGGUGCGAGCGUUAAUCGGAAUUACUGGGCGUAAGGCGUGCGCAGGCGGUCUUGUAAGACAGGCGUGAAAUCCCCGGGCUCAACCUGGGAAUUGCGCUUGUGACUGCAAGGCUGGAGUGCGGCAGAGGGGGAUGGAAUUCCGCGUGUAGCAGUGAAAUGCGUAGAUAUGCGGAGGAACACCGAUGGCGAAGGCAAUCCCCUGGGCCUGCACUGACGCUCAUGCACGAAAGCGUGGGGAGCAAACAGGAUUAGAUACCCUGGUAGUCCACGCCCUAAACGAUGUCAACUGGUUGUUGGGUCUCUUCUGACUCAGUAACGAAGCUAACGCGUGAAAGUUGACCGCCUGGGGAGGACGGUCCGGCGAGUUAGAACGUACGAAGAAGUUAGACGGCGNGAGACGNGCCGACGGACGACGACGAGGGAGGAGG
rnacentral:rRNA from 1 species